CCUACGGGUGGCAGCAGUGGGGAAUAUUGCACAAUGGGGGAAACCCUGAUGCAGCGACGCCGCGUGAGUAAAGAAGUCUUUCGGUAUGUAAAGCUCUAUCAGCAGGGAAGAAAAUGACGGUACCUGAUUAAGAAGCCCCGGCUAACUACGUGCCAGCCGCCGCGGUAAGACGUCGGGGGCAAGCGUUAUCCGGAUUUACUGGGUGUAAAGGGAGCGUAGACGGCAGCACAAGUCUGGAGGGAAAUGCCGGGGCUUAAACCCGGAACUGCUGUGGAAACUGUGCAGCUAGAGUGCAGGAGAGGUAAGUGGAAUUCGUAGUGUAGCGGUGAAAUGCGUAGAUAUUAGGAGGAACACCAGUGGCGAAGGCGGCUUACUGGACUGUAACUGACGUUGAGGCUCGAAAGCGUGGGGAGCGAACAGGAUUAGAUACCCCGGUAGUC
rnacentral:rRNA from 1 species